GUUAUAUUUAACUGCCAUAUGGGUUGUGAGCCAUAGAGAAGGACAACUGUCAUGUCUUGCUCUACUUUUUAAUUGUAUUCCCAUUAUUUAUACCUGUUUCUACUGCCAGAAGAUUGCGUUAUGCUACAUGCCACCUGGAAUGCAAGUAGUUAAUUCUAAGUUUCAGAGAUGGUUUAGAUUAUUCCAAAGAGAAUUGCAAACCAGCGAUAAUAUCCAUAAAACUAAUAUUUGGGGGCAUCAGUGAAUUCAUUCUUAUUAACCUUUUUCUGCACAAUGUUUUAUAUUUACAUACAUCAGAGGAUUGGUUGUGGCUUAGACUCAGCUUCUGAUUGCUUUGGAAUUACACAGUAAAAUCAUUUAUAAAGUGCCCCAGCAAUUUUUGUACCAUGGAUCAUAAUUGUUUAUUUUAAGUCACAAAUAAUAAUACCUUUCUGCAAUUUUGGUUGGGUGUUUAACAGUAUGAUGGUAUUUAACACCAUCAGAGGUAAAAAAUAAUAAAUAAAAAAUGCCUUAUGAUGAAGUUACUAGGUGAGCUAUUUUAUAACACUCAUUAAACCACCUUAGCUGAUGUUAAAAACAUCCUUUCUGGGAGUAGAAAGCAUCCUUAUAGCAACUGGAAUUAUACAAAAUGUAAGAAAAAAUCUAAUCCCUUGCCUAAAACUAGGACUAGAGAAUAGCAAAGCUUGAUUAAAUAUCUACUACAAUUCAGACCCAACUCCGUGAAGUGGCACUCUAAGCUUAUAACCACUACAGUUCAUUGUUGUGGUUAUAGAGUCAGGAAUGUUUGCAUAUAUCCCAACAUUUCAA